CACAGGGUGGUGAGGAAAAGUGACAGUAAAAAUAAAAGAUCAAAGGGUCUUAGAAUCUUUACCAGAUACAAAAAUAAUAACUUCACAAUGGAAAUGUGGACUUAUGUGAUAACGAAGAAAUCAUCAAUGGCAAGAAACUAGUAGCUGUGACAUCUCAGCAGGAUAGAUAAAACACCAGGAACAAAGAAGAAAUCGGAGGCAGCUGCAGUUUGCCAUGGAGCUGGUGAGCCCAAGAUGGAAAGGAUGUAAGGAAAGAACAGCGAAGCAUGAGAAAUAUUAAGACACGAAGCACACAAUUCAAGCGGAGACUAGAUAG